GACAGAGGCCCCAAGCGUUAGGCGGAAUCACUGGGCUUAAAGCGUGUGUAGGCGGAUUGGUAAGUACCUUGUGAAAUCCCACGGCUCAACCGUGGAACUGCUUGGUAUACUGCUUAUCUUGAGCCACUUAGGGGCUGUCGGAACAAACGGUGGAGCGGUGAAAUGCGUAGAUAUCUGGAAGAACACCAGUGGCGAAGGCGGUCAACUGGCCCGUAACUGACGCUGAGGCACGAAAGCGUGGGGAGCGAACAGG
rnacentral:rRNA from 1 species